UCUAUGGAGUUUUAUAGCACACGAGAAGAAUGCAAAAAGCUGCAUGGCUGUGAAGGAACAGUUUCUUUCACUCGAAGGCUGAAUGCACUCUUCGACAGUCUGAACCUUCAGCGGCCAGAUGACGUGGCAAAGGCUCGGCCAGGACAACUAAAUGUCAUAAAAGAGAGCAUUGCAUGGCUGGAGGAAUGGUGUGCAUUUAGGAAGACACUGACUCAGCAGCAGCAGGCAUGCUUUCUAAGCAAACAGACUUGUUCUGCCUUAAGGGUUACUCUACGCAGCACUGUUGCACUCGUUGAAGACCUGAGAGCUUUGGGAUACAAGUAUGUUCUCACCGGAAAGCUCGGUCAAGAUCCACUGGAGAAAUUCUUCGGCAUCGUCAGGCAUAUUGCUGGUGAUGGAGGACGACCCACAGCGGUUCAUUUUUUGUACAUAUACCGCAUGCUGUCCGUAAACAACCUGGUGAAGCCACCUGAUAGAACCAAUGUCCAGUCGCAAGGUCCGCAGCUGCUGUUAACACUUCAGAGCCUUUUCGGAAAGAAGUCACCUCCGAUUAACCAUGUAAGCUGCGUGUGUGAUGUUUUACA